GGUGAACGCUGGCGGCGUGCUUAAGACAUGCAAGUCGAACGGCAGUCUUCGGACUGUAGUGGCGCACGGGUGAGUAACGCGUAACUGACCUACCCCAAAGUCGCGGAUAACGAUUCGAAAGAAUCGCUAAUACGUGAUGUGCUGUCAGAUUGUGUUCUGCCAGUAAAGAUUGAUUGCUUUGGGAUGGGGUUGCGUUCCAUCAGCUAGUUGGUGGGGUAAAGGCCCACCAAGGCGACGACGGAUAGCCGGCCUGAGAGGGUGGCCGGCCACAGGGGCACUGAGACACGGGUCCCACUCCUACGGGAGGCAGCAGUUAGGAAUCUUCCACAAUGGGCGAAAGCCUGAUGGAGCGGCGCCGCGUGAGGGAUGGAGGUCUUCGGAUCGUAAACCUCUGAAUCAGGGACGAAAGACACUUCGGUGGGAUGACGGUACCUGAGUAAUAGCACCGGCUAACUCCGUGCCAGCCGCCGCCGUAAAAC
rnacentral:rRNA from 1 species